rnacentral:rRNA from 1 species
CAUUUAUUAGAACAAAACCAAUUGGCUUUGGCCAUAAAUUGGUGAAUCUGAAUAACUACGCUGAUCGCAUGGUCUAGUACCGGCGACAUAUCCUUCAAGUGUCUGCCUUAUCAACUGUCGAUGGUAGUCUAUAAGCCUACCAUGGUUGUAACGGGUAACGGAGAAUAAGGGUUCGACUCCGGAGAGGGAGCCUGAGAAACGGCUACCACAUCCAAGGAAGGCAGCAGGCGCGCAAAUUACCCACUCUCAGAACGAGGAGGUAGUGACGAAAAAUAACGAGACAGUUCUCUUUGAGGUCUGUCAUCGGAAUGGGUACAAUCUAAACCCUUUAACGAGGAUCUAUUGGAGGGCAAGUCUGGUGCCAGCAGCCGCGGUAAUUCCAGCUCCAAUAGCGUAUAUUAAAGUUGUUGCGGUUAAAAAGCUCGUAGUUGGAUCUGCGGUCAUUGGCACUGGUUUCCUUCACGGAAUACUGGUUGUCGUGACCUACCUCGCUGGUUUUCCCUUGGUGCUCUUCAUUGAGUGCCCUGGGUGGCUAGCACGUUUACUUUGAAAAAAUUAGAGUGCUUAAUGCAGGCG